GAUGAACGCUGGCGGCGUGCCUAAUACAUGCAAGUCGAGCGAACAGACGAGGAGCUUGCUCCUCUGACGUUAGCGGCGGACGGGUGAGUAACACGUGGAUAACCUACCUAUAAGGCUGGGAUAACUUCGGGAAACCGGAGCUAAUACCGGAUAAUAUAUUGAACCGCAUGGUUCAAUAGUGAAAGACGGUUUUGCUGUCACUUAUAGAUGGAUCCGCGCCGCAUUAGCUAGUUGGUAAGGUAACGGCUUACCAAGGCGACGAUGCGUAGCCGACCUGAGAGGGUGAUCGGCCACACUGGAACUGAGACACGGUCCAGACUCCUACGGGAGGCAGCAGUAGGGAAUCUUCCGCAAAGGGCGAAAGCCUGACGGAGCAACGCCGCGUGAGUGAUGAAGGUCUUCGGAUCGUAAAACUCUGUUAUUAGGGAAGAACAAAUGUGUAAGUAACUAUGCACGUCUUGACGGUACCUAAUCAGAAAGCCACGGCUAACUACGUG
rnacentral:rRNA from 1 species